ACGCACGCUGGCGGCGUGCUUCACACAUGCAAGUCGAACGGAAAGGCCCUGCUUUUGUGGGGUGCUCGAGUGGCGAACGGGUGAGUAACACGUGAGUAACCUGCCCUUGACUUUGGGAUAACUUCAGGAAACUGGGGCUAAUACCGGAUAGGAGCUCCUGCUGCAUGGUGGGGGUUGGAAAGUUUCGGCGGUUGGGGAUGGACUCGCGGCUUAUCAGCUUGUUGGUGGGGUAGUGGCUUACCAAGGCUUUGACGGGUAGCCGGCCUGAGAGGGUGACCGGCCACAUUGGGACUGAGAUACGGCCCAGACUCCUAUGGGAGGCAGCAGUGGGGAAUAUUGCACAAUGGGCGGAAGCCUGAUGCAGCAACGCCGCGUGCGGGAUGACGGCCUUCGGGUUGUAAACCGCUUUCGCCUGUGACGAAGCGUGAGUGACGGUAAUGGGUAAAGAAGCACCGGCUAACUACGUG
rnacentral:rRNA from 1 species